AACUCUUAGCGGUGGAUCACUCGGCUCAUGCGUUGAUGAAGAACACAGCCAGCUGCAAGAACUAAUGUGAAUUGCAGGACACAUUGAUCAUUGGCACUUUGAACUCACAUUGUGGCCCCGAGUCCCUCCCAGGGCUACGCCUGUCUGAGGGUCG